UGGGGAAUCUUCCGCAAUGGACGAAAGUCUGACGGAGCAACGCCACGUGAGUGAAGAAGGUUUUCGGAUUGUAAAGCUCUGUCUUUUGGGGCGAAUGUCACCUAUGUGAAUAAUGUAGGUGAAUGACGGUACCGGAGGAGGAAGCCACGGCUAACUACGUGCCAGCAGCCGCGGUAAUACGUAGGUGGCGAGCGUUGUCCGGAAUUAUUGGGCGUAAAGCGCGCGCAGGCGGGUGUGUAAGUCUGUCUUAAAAGUGCGGGGCUUAACCCCGUGAGGGGACAGAAACUAUACAUCUUGAGUGCAGGAGAGGACAGUGGAAUUCCCAGUGUAGCGGUGAAAUGCGUAGAUAUUGGGAGGAACACCAGUGGCGAAGGCGACUGUCUGGACUGUGUCUGACGCUGAGGCGCGAAAGCCAGGGGAGUGAACGGG
rnacentral:rRNA from 2 species